GAUGAAGAACGCAGUGAAACGCGAUAGUUAAUGUGAAUUGCAGAAUUCAGUGAAUCAUCGAGUCUUUGAACGCACAUUGCGCCCCCUGGUAUUCCGGGGGGCAUGCCUGUCCGAGCGUCAUUGCUGCCCUCAAGCACGGCUUGUGUGUUGGGCCUCCGUCCUCCUCCCGGGGGACGGGCCCGAAAGGCAGCGGCGGCACCGCGUCCGGUCCUCGAGCGUAUGGGGCUUCGUCACCCGCUCUUGUAGGCCCGGCCGGCGCUUGCCGACACAUCAAUCUUUUUUCCAGGUUGACCUCGGAUCAGGUAGGGAUACCCGCUGAACUUAAGCAUAUCAAUAAGCGGAGGA
rnacentral:misc_RNA from 1 species